GUACGAGAGGACCGGGAUGGACAUACCUCUGGUGUACCAGUUGUUCUGCCAAGAGCACCGCUGGGUAGCUACGUAUGGAUUAGAUAAUCGCUGAAAGCAUCUAAGUGAGAAACUAACCUCGAGAUGAGAUUUCCCAUUCGUCAGAAGUAAGACCCCUGAGAGACGAUCAGGUAGAUAGGCUAGAAGUGGAAGUGUAGUGAUGCAUGGAGCGGACUAGUACUAAUAGGUCGAGGACUUAACCAAG
rnacentral:rRNA from 1 species